AUGACGGAGGAGCGCAUUUCCAGGGCCUCAGACGAGCCCCCCACCGCGACCAAGCAGAGGAAGAAGAGGAAGUGGGAUCAGCCCGCAGAGGACUUGGUCGCCGCGGCUGCGGCUGCUGCUGCUGCUGCGGGACUGCCCGUGUUGAACGUCGCAGCUCUGGCCGGCGUUCAAUUCCCUGGCACUACUGCGUAUCCUGCCGCCCCUUAUGCUUUGCCGCCGCAGCUCGCUCCAUCGGUGCUUCAGAGUGCUGCUGCUGCGAUUCAGAAAUUAAGUCAGGCAAAACUACCGGAUGAGCUUAUAGCACGAGAAGUUGUUAUAAAUGACGCUGAUCCAUCUGUGCGAUAUAAGCUCACGAAGCGGCAAACACAGGACGAGAUUCAACGAUGCACAUGCACUGUCAUCAUUACAAGGGGAAAAUACCAUCCUCCUAAUGGACAGCCUGAUGGCGAGAAGCCACUCUAUCUACAUAUCUCUGCAGGAUCUCAGCUAAAAGAUACCGCUGAGCGCAUUAAAGCAGUUGAUCUUGCAGCCUCAAUGAUCGAGGACAUCUUGAAACAUGGCCAAAUGCCAGAAGCCACAUCAGCCAAUUUCCCUUCUAUCCAGAGCAACAGACAGGCUGUUCCUUUUAGCGCCUCAAUCUUUUUGGGUUUUGACGCAGAUCCAUCAUUGAACGUUGCAGCUCGCAUCCGUGGACCAAAUGAUCAGUACAUAAAUCACAUUAUGAAUGAAACAGGGGUCACUGUUGUACUAAGAGGAAAAGAUUCAGGGAACCUUGGCAAUUGUCAUGCUGAAGCAUCACAGCAACCUCUGCACAUGCACCUAUCAGGUGUGCAUUUGAAGAGCCUAGAAGCUGCAAAGGUUUUAGCAGAAAACCUUCUAGAUACAAUAGCAGCGGAACUUGGCGCUUCCAGAAUUUCUUCUUCAAAAGUAUAUGGUGCUGUUCCACCUCCUCAGCAACUGUUGACUGGUGUGCACACCUCGGGAACAUCAGACAUGUGUGUGUCAACUGGAGCAUCACAUUCCUUUGCCCCUACUGGAGUUACUUCUCCCAUAGCUGCCCCUUCAGUGACACUUCAAUCUGGGGCGCCAACUUAUUCCGGGAUUCUCCCACCCAGUAACCUGAUCUAUCCUAGUCAAGCAGCAAAUCAUGGGGCUUUUUACAAUGGCUAUGGAGACAUCUAUCCCCAGGCAACUCCAUUGCAGCAGGUGGCAUUAACACUCAAGCAUGCUUCAUCUUCGACAACUCAGGUUAUUCCAGUGGCAUCCACAUCAGCAAGCAUGACGACAAGUGUGAACACAAGUACAAAGUUGGAGGCAGAUAAACGCUCACAGAGGAGGAAAUUCCAGGAACUGCCAACAGCAGAUCUUCAGGUAUUUUCUCCGACCAUGUCUGAAGCUCGCAGGGUGAACUCACAACAGGGGUCCAAAUUUGUUAAGACAGGUUUAGAUGAUCUAGGUAAAAUGAACAGUUCAUCGGUUGCAGCUACAAUGAAAGUUCAGCCUGGAUCAAAUAGGAUACUUCCACAAGAUCCACAUCCAUCUCAUCCAUCUGUAUACACUAGCAUGCCGCCACCACCACCACCCAAGAACAUGUCACUGCCAUAUCCCAAUAGCAUGCCACCGCCACCGCCCAGGAGCAUGCCUCCGCCACCACCUAAGUUCCCUUCAAAUGAAGUGUUAAGAAAUGAGAACAGGCAUUCAGCUGUAAAGGAGCUGCUGGCGCCUCCGAGAUCGAGUUCUGCUGCACCACCUCCGAAGGAGCCUAAAGAGGAAAAGCCAAGCAGUGCAUCUGUUUCCGAUACUCUGCUGAAGCUUAUGGACUACGGGGAUGAUGAUGAAGAGGACGACGACUAG
rnacentral:rRNA from 1 species